AUUGAACGCUGGCGGCAGGCCUAACACAUGCAAGUCGAACGGUAACAGGAAGCAGCUUGCUGCUUUGCUGACGAGUGGCGGACGGGUGAGUAAUGUCUGGGAAACUGCCUGAUGGAGGGGGAUAACUACUGGAAACGGUAGCUAAUACCGCAUAACGUCGCAAGACCAAAGAGGGGGACCUUCGGGCCUCUUGCCAUCGGAUGUGCCCAGAUGGGAUUAGCUAGUAGGUGGGGUAACGGCUCACCUAGGCGACGAUCCCUAGCUGGUCUGAGAGGAUGACCAGCCACACUGGAACUGAGACACGGUCCAGACUCCUACGGGAGGCAGCAGUGGGGAAUAUUGCACAAUGGGCGCAAGCCUGAUGCAGCCAUGCCGCGUGUAUGAAGAAGGCCUUCGGGUUGUAAAGUACUUUCAGCGGGGAGGAAGGGAGUAAAGUUAAUACUUUUGCUCAUUGACGUUACCCGCAGAAGAAGCACCGGCUAACUCCGUGCCAGCAGCCGCGGUAAUACGGAGGGUGCAAGCGUUAAUCGGAAUUACUGGGCGUAAAGCGCACGCAGGCGGUUUGUUAAGUCAGAUGUGAAAUCCCCGGGCUCAACCUGGGAACUGCAUCUGAUACUGGCAAGCUUGAGUCUCGUAGAGGGGGGUAGAAUUCCAGGUGUAGCGGUGAAAUGCGUAGAGAUCUGGAGGAAUACCGGUGGCGAAGGCGGCCCCCUGGACGAAGACUGACGCUCAGGUGCGAAAGCGUGGGGAGCAAACAGGAUUAGAUACCCUGGCAGUCCACGCCGUAAACGAUGUCGACUUGGAGGUUGUGCCCUUGAGGCGUGGCUUCCGGAGCUAACGCGUUAAGUCGACCGCCUGGGGAGUACGGCCGCAAGGUUAAAACUCAAAUGAAUUGACGGGGGCCCGCACAAGCGGUGGAGCAUGUGGUUUAAUUCGAUGCAACGCGAAGAACCUUACCUGGUCUUGACAUCCACGGAAGUUUUCAGAGAUGAGAAUGUGCCUUCGGGAACCGUGAGACAGGUGCUGCAUGGCUGUCGUCAGCUCGUGUUGUGAAAUGUUGGGUUAAGUCCCGCAACGAGCGCAACCCUUAUCCUUUGUUGCCAGCGGUCCGGCCGGGAACUCAAAGGAGACUGCCAGUGAUAAACUGGAGGAAGGUGGGGAUGACGUCAAGUCAUCAUGGCCCUUACGACCAGUGCUACACACGUGCUGCAAUGGCGCAUACAAAGAGAAGCGACCUCGCGAGAGCAAGCGGACCUCAUAAAGUGCGUCGUAGUCCGGAUUGGAGUCUGCAACUCGACUCCAUGAAGUCGGAAUCGCUAGUAAUCGUGGAUCAGAAUGCCACGGUGAAUACGUUCCCGGGCCUUGUACACACCGCCCGUCACACCAUGGGAGUGGGUUGCAAAAGAAGUAGGUAGCUUAACCUUCGGGAGGGCGCUUACCACUUUGUGAUUCAUGACUGGGGAGAAGUCGUAACAAGGUA
rnacentral:rRNA from 1 species